rnacentral:lncRNA from 1 species
CUAUUACCAUCUUAUAUAAAUAUCAUAUAAUAUUUUUAAUUCAAUAAAAUAUUACAGUAUAAAUUAUAGUAAAUAGAUGGCGGCAGCAUCUGUCAUCUCCUAUUUAAUAUAAGGACAAGAGGACGGCUGAAUAUUGGGCUAUAUCUAGGUUUAAAGUUAGACCAGUGUUCCUUAGCCACAACUUAAGCUUGGUUUAAUUGGUUUAAAGCAGCAUUUACCAAAUAAGCAUGAUAACCUAUCCCAUCCGACGGCUCAAGGUGUCUCGGAGAUAAUCCUGGAUAAACGCUCCUUUUUUUUCUCUCUUUUUUUUUUUUUUUUUGGGAUAAAGGCACCCCCUUUCAAGUUUCAAAUGGUGCACUAACGAGCUGGGUUGGACUUCAAGAAACAAAAAAAUGGGCGAUAGCCUUCACAUGGGCCAUACUGGCCAAGGAUCAAAGCGAGAGAGAUUUGGGCACGCAGGGAGAAGCAUUAACCUCACAAUUGAUGUUUUAUUUCUAUUUUUUUAAAAAAAUUAUUUUUUUCGUUCACUUUUGGGCGCAUAAAUAUACUUCUUCAUUCUCCAUCCCCACGUCCCCUUAUGAAUAAAAAGGACAAAGCCACGUUAACAAAAAUCCAUAUAUAUAUAUAUAGUUUUGGUAGAAAAAAAUCCAUAUUUCCUUUAUCUCAUUAUCUCAUCAGGCGGCUGACCGAUCUUGCUGUCCAGAAAAGACAGCCGGGCAGCCCUUCCUGACCUGUUCGUGAGCAUUAAGAUUCGUGAAUAUGGCAGCUGGAUGGCUUCAGAUGCUGGAACAGGAUACCGAUGGUGUUGCUCGAGGUCAUCCGCACCGCUUCGCCCGACAAGCCGCCGCUUCGAGGCCCGCUGUCGGUGCGUUGACCUGGUGAACCUUUCAUCCGUAGGAUGCCCCAUCACAUCAUCAUCACGAGAAGAUUCCUGGCGGGUGUCCUUUUUCCCACACGUGUCGGAAGGUCGGAGCAACAGAGUGCAACGCACGCCAUCACUUGGGACCACGUGCCCGUGGACUGAGAGUGGUACAGCUGUCGGGAACCGAAUACCGACACGUACGCCAUCGUUGUCUCACGUGCGGACGUGUAAACCUGAGACGCUUAACCUUUGCCCGCA